UGCGUAGGCGGAAUAUUAAGUCAGCGGUGAAAUCCUGCGGCUCAACCGUAGAACUGCCAUUGAUACUGAUAUUCUUGAAUGUAGUUGAGGUAGGCGGAAUGUGUAAUGUAGCGGUGAAAUGCUUAGAUAUUACACAGAACACCGAUUGCGAAGGCAGCUUACUAAACUAUGAUUGACGCUGAUGCACGAAAGCGUGGGGAGCGAACAGGAUUAGAUACCCUGGUAGUCC
rnacentral:rRNA from 1 species